CAGCAGCCGCGGUAAUACGGAGGGAGCUAGCGUUGUUCGGAAUUACUGGGCGUAAAGCGCACGUAGGCGGCGAUUUAAGUCAGAGGUGAAAGCCCGGGGCUCAACCCCGGAACUGCCUUUGAGACUGGACUGCUUGAAUCCGGGAGAGGUGAGUGGAAUUCCGAGUGUAGAGGUGAAAUUCGUAGAUAUUCGGAAGAACACCAGUGGCGAAGGCGGCUCACUGGACCGGCAUUGACGCUGAGGUGCGAAAGCGUGGGGAGCAAACAGGAUUAGAUACCCGCGUAGUCCCUGUCUCUUAUAC
rnacentral:rRNA from 1 species